AUUCCUGUGCACAAAAACAGACAAGAGCUUUUUGCUUUUUAGUGGGAAAAUCCCAAGACAGGGAAAAAAAGUCAGCUUACUUGGACAGUUUUACCCCAAGGUUUCAAGAACAGCCCAACAGUAUUUGGAAACCAUCUAGCAAAGGAACUAGAGGACCGGAAAAGAUAGGAGCCAGAAGGAGUUAUUCUUCAACAUGUGGCUGACAUUCUGAUUGUGGCUGGAACCAGAGAUGACUGUAUACGACUUAAGGCCCUUCACUGUUGGAGUCCAUCAGGGCAAAAGGGCAGCAAGGGACUUUACCCCAGGCCCUGUGAAGAACCUUCUCAAGUUAGGGUGAGCAAAAGCUUACCCACAAUUCACCCUGGAAAGUGGCUCAGCUAUCCACUGGAUUUUGUUGCUUCAGAAAAGCAUCAGUUCCUCUGACCAAAUGAACACCUCCUGAACUGGAUCAGGUAUGUUAAGAAGACAGCCAAGGAGAGCCAGCAAUCCUCCUUCCUUCAUGGCACAGCAGGAACAGCAUCUGCCUCUCUCCCACCCACCAAUCUCAUCUUGGCCAUUCACCAAAUAAAAUCCAUGCAGGCAA